rnacentral:rRNA from 1 species
CCCUACUCCUACGGGAGGCAGCAGUAGGGAAUCUUCCACAAUGGGCGCAAGCCUGAUGGAGCAACACCGCGUGAGUGAAGAAGGGUUUCGGCUCGUAAAACUCUGUUGUUGAAGAAGAACGUGCGUGAGAGUAACUGUUCAUGCAGUGACGGUAUUCAACCAGAAAGUCACGGCUAACUACGUGCCAGCAGCCGCGGUAAUA